UCGAGCGAGAACCAGGGGCUUCGGCCCCUGGGGACAGCGACGAACGGGUGAGUAACACGUGGAUAACCUGCCCUCGGCACCGGAAUAGCCCGGGGAAACUCGGAUUAAUGCCGGAUAGCCCCACAUCCCUGCGGGGAACGUGGGAAAAGGUAGCUUCGGCCUCUGGCCGGGGAUGGGUCCGCGGUGGAUUAGCUUGUUGGCGGGGUAACGGCCCACCAAGGCGACGAUCCAUAGCUGGUCUGAGAGGACGAUCAGCCACACUGGGACUGAGACACGGCCCAGACUCCUACGGGAGGCAGCAGUGGGGAAUCUUGCGCAAUGGGCGAAAGCCUGACGCAGCGACGCCGCGUGCGGGAAGAAGGCCUUCGGGUUGUAAACCGCUUUCAGGAGGGACGAAGCCACUCGGGUGAAUAGCCCAGAGGGUGACGGUACCUCCAGAAGAAGCCCCGGCUAACUACGUGCCAGCAGCCGCGGUAAUACGUAGGGGGCAAGCGUUGUCCGGAUUCAUUGGGCGUAAAGAGCGUGUAGGCGGCCAGGUAGGUCGGUUGUGAAAACUGGAGGCUCAACCUUCAGACGUCGACCGAAACCAUCUGGCUAGAGUCCGGGAGAGGAGAGUGGAAUUCCUGGUGUAGCGGUGAAAUGCGCAGAUAUCAGGAAGAACACCCGUGGCGAAAGCGGCUCUCUGGAACGGUACUGACGCUGAGACGCGAAAGCGUGGGGAGCGAACAGGAUUAGAUACCCUGGUAGUCCACGCCGUAAACGAUGGGCGCUAGGUGUGGGAGGUGUCGACUCCUUCCGUGCCGCAGCUAACGCAUUAAGCGCCCCGCCUGGGGAGUACGGCCGCAAGGCUAAAACUCAAGGAAUUGACGGGGGCCCGCACAAACGGUGGAGCAUGUGUUUUAAUUCGACGCAAGCGCAAAACCUU
rnacentral:rRNA from 1 species